AUCUAAAUGUUUGAAAUUUUCAGCUAUUAGUUUACUGACCUUUGAAUUUUAGGGAUUUUAAAUAGUUACACGCUUAAUAAAUAUCUUUCGAUCUACGGUCUGAUCUCUUAAGAAUUAUUCCUCCCAUUUUUCCUAUAAAUAAGGGGAAUCAUUCUUAAAAAAUCACACUGUAUAUAGUUAUUAAAAUUUCUAUAUAAAAAACACUAAAUGUGCUUAAAUUUCUCGCCUACAUUUUUUCUAUAAUAACUAAAACCUUGCAUUUCCUUAUAGUCCAAGUUGUUCAUAUUGAUUGAAACAUUUUGUAAAAUGUUACAUUUAUAAAGUAAUAAUAAAUUUAAUUGAAAGUGUAAUUUAUUAUUAUUACAAACUACUUUUAUCGUGAUGAACAUUAAUGUGUAGUUUCCGUGUCAUGAAAAUUUGAGGAUGACCGUAGGCAAGUGUCAGUUUCGAAUGUAAACAAAACGGUCACCACGUUGAAGAAUGACGUUUGUCAUAUGCCAAUCGAUAGCUCCAAUAAUAUUUUAAGGAAUAAAUUUGAAGAGUUUCAAUUAGACGAGUUUUGUGAUGUUUUGGCGUAUCGUUAAGCAAAAUCAUAAAGUGAGAGUAUUGAUGUAUACUGACAAAAAAAAACAGGACAUAGUAAUACCAAAGUAUCUCAGUUUGUACUACAUUAUAGAAGGAGUUAAUAUAACAUUUUAUGGCUGAAAAAGGAGACAAUUAUAAAAAAAAAUUCACUAAUGUUGCGACCGACCUAGGAUGAGACACGGCAAAGUGUUGGACUGGAUGUCGUUGUAAUGUGAAAAAAAGUACAGAGUUAUAACACAAUAUAUUUAUACAACGGAUCUUUAAUUUUAGAAAUACAAUUAUUUCUAACUAUAGCAUUAGUUGUCUUUAGGUGAAUCACUUACAACUUAUAACACAAUAUAUUUAUACAACGGUUCGAACGCGAUUCAUUACUGCUUAUUCGUUGUCUAAUACUAAUUAUUCCCUAACCCCACUACACUAAUAUCAUAACAAUACGGGUUCGUAACAAUAGGACUGAGUGGUAAAAUUUAAGUCGAUCCAACACAAGAAAAAUCUUAGAAAUUGUUUCUAUUUAAUGAUUUUACAAAUAUUUCUGAAGCAUUAUUUAUUUCACAAUAAUCUACAUAUUAAUUAAUUUCGGAUUGAUCAUUCAUUUGUUCACAAACUAUGAAUAAUUACAAAUUUUUAUAACUGUUUUAUUGUUAUAAAAUUUAUGCUAUAUUUUUAAUUAAUU